UUCCACAGUAGCGUACAAAUA
ensembl:piRNA 21ur-4067 ncRNA